rnacentral:rRNA from 1 species
GAUGAACGCUGGCGACGUGCCUAAUACAUGCAAGUCGAGCGAACAGAUGAGGAGCUUGCUCCUCUGACGUUAGCGGCAGACGGGUGAGUAACACGUGGAUAACCUACCUAUAAGACUGGGAUAACUUCGGGAAACCGGAGCUAAUACCGGAUAAUAUAUUGAACCGCAUGGUUCAAUAGUGAAAGACGGUUUUGCUGUCACUUAUAGAUGGAUCCGCGCCGCAUUAGCUAGUUGGUAAGGUAACGGCUUACCAAGGCAACGAUGCGUAGCCGACCUGAGAGGGUGAUCGGCCACACUGGAACUGAGACACGGUCCAGACUCCUACGGGAGGCAGCAGUAGGGAAUCUUCCGCAAUGGGCGAAAGCCUGACGGAGCAACGCCGCGUGAGUGAUGAAGGUCUUCGGAUCGUAAAACUCUGUUAUUAGGGAAGAACAAAUGUGUAAGUAACUAUGCACGUCUUGACGGUACCUAAUCAGAAAGCCACGGCUAACUACGUG